GAUGUAUAUUUCUUUGUUAAGUAACCAAAAAGUACUCUUCAUUAACAGGGGCCACAAUAUGUAUGCACAAGCUUCUCUACUUUCAUCUGUACUAAUUGCAGCGGGAUACACCGAGAGUUCAGUCAUCGUGUAAAAUCAGUAUCAAUGGCUAAAUUCACUUCCCAAGAAGUUUCGGCACUUCAGGAAGGGGGCAAUGAGCGUGCUAAGGAAAUCUAUUUCAAGCAUUGGGACUUGCAAGGCCCUGUUAUUGACAGUAGUGAUGUACAUAGACUCAGAAAUUUCAUCAAGAAUGUAUAUGUUGAACGGAGAUAUUUAGAACAAAGAAUUAGCGAACAUUUAGCGCAAGCAAAGGUAGCUAUCUGAACUCAUGAUCACUGAUCACCGAUAGACAUCUAUGCAGUAAACUAGCAUCCACAAUCUCUUCACUGCCCAGAACUUUUUUUAACCCGUUAAACAUCUGAAAGAUCCAGGGUAAUCAGGACUCUUAUGGAAAUAGCAAUGCAGAUUCAUCUCCAGGAGUUUUAAGAAGUG